ensembl:snRNA U6 U6 spliceosomal RNA
GUGCUCUCUUAAACAGCACAUAUACUAAAAUUAGAAUGAUAGAAGAUAAGCAUGCUCCCUGUGCAAGGGUGACAUACAAAUUUGUGAAACGUUCCAUAUUUUU